CCCUAUUUGUAAACAACCAGCCCUUUAACUCGGGGCUGCGUUAUAAACACGGAGCGCUUGGAAGACCACGAUGUCAUCUUCCUUCUGUCAGGAGGAUCAAAGUGAAGCUACAGGAGUUUCAUUAACGUCAACAACUUGGACCGAACAGUUUGUUUUGCUUGAUGAAGAGCAGGAAGGGAAGCCUGGAGAGAAAGAGAAGCCGGGUUGAGCCCACUAACAUCAUCCACGUACCACGAGGAAGAUGAGGGAGAGAAAUGAUCCUACCAUUAAAGAGACUGUGAAAAGAACGUUGAGAACAUCACCACUCUACAGGAAGACACAGUCCAGUAAUGGGUGUCAGAAGUUCAGUAGUGAACGACAGAAACAAACAAUCCAAAUUACCUGCAGAACACCCUUGAUGGACGCUUCAGCUGCAUCGUCAGACUGGCCAGACAGCAAGAUGCCAACUUUAAUGCCAAUUUAUUUGUGUAACAUUCUGUGACCAAAUGUAUAGAUAACUUUUUGUAGAUUGUAAAAAUAGAUAACCCAUUUAUUACAAAAAAACUACACUAGAA